rnacentral:rRNA from 1 species
AACGAACGCUGGCGGCAGGCUUAACACAUGCAAGUCGAACGCCCCGCAAGGGGAGUGGCAGACGGGUGAGUAACGCGUGGGAACAUACCCUUUCCUGCGGAAUAGCUCUGGGAAACUGGAAUUAAUACCGCAUACGCCCUACGGGGGAAAGAUUUAUCGGGGAAGGAUUGGCCCGCGUUGGAUUAGCUCGUUGGUGGGGUAAAGGCAUACCAAGGCUACGAUCCAUAGCUGGUCUGAGAGGAUGAUUAGCCACAUUGGGAAGGAUACACGGCCGAAACUCCUACGGGAGGAAGCAGUGGGGAAGAUUGGACAAUGGGCGCAAGCCUGAUCCAGCCAUGCCGAGUGAGUGAUGAAGGACUUAGAGUUGUAAAGCUGUUUCACCGAGGAAGAUAAUGACGGUAGUCGGAGAAGAAGCCCCGGCUAACAUCGUGCCAGCCGCCGCCGUAAGAC